rnacentral:rRNA from 1 species
CUAGCUAGAGGGGGCGGCUGGAGUGCGGGCUAGCGUGCGGGCUAGGUGGUGAUGGGGGGGAGGGGCCGGCUAGGUAGGGCUGGCGGCGGCGGGAGAGGGGCGUGAGCAUGGGUUCCUUAGUCGGCCGCCGGUCUAGGCGGGGAGGUGAGUGGGUUGAGAGGGAGGCGGCGGCGCCUAGAGCGUCCCUUCUGCGCCUGCUCUAGGGUUCGGCGACGAGGAGGAGAGGGCCCUACGUCGGCGGCGGCGGCUUGGUCCCUCUGCGGCCGCUGGCAGCGGCGGCAGCACCUAGUGGUACUGCGGCGGCGGACGUGGCGGUGGCGGCGCCGCAGCGCCGACCGCAACCGCUUAGGUAAGGGUCGCCGCCCCCGAAGGCCGCUCCUCCGCUCGCUCGAGCCCCUCGAGGCCGCCCCCGAACAGCGGCCACUCCGCUCCGGUUCCGCCGCCGCGCGCCCGCGCUCCUCCGCCCCAGCUCCUCCGCGUCCUCCUGCGGCCGGCCACCCCGAGGCCGCCCCCGAACCGCUCCCGCCGCCGCCGGCCGCACGAGCGAACCCUCCUACCUCCGACGGAGUGGCCCCGAGUCCGCACCGUCGUGCCGCAGCCCGGCAACGGCUACCGCGGCCCCGGCCCCGCCACCAAACUGCCAGCUGCUCCUCCUCCACGACAGGACCUCGGUCGCUGCCGCCGACGUCGAACUGCUACGGCCGCAGUUGUCGAACGAAGUCCCCGACGUCCGGCACUUGCCGCAACACGAACGCGCGCUCUGGGCACAGACUAAACCUUUCUUAGUUAGGCCACUUCUUCUUCCGGUUACGUUGACGAGAGAUCGAUCCGUGACCUCAUAGACGUGGGGGUUACCUUGCGAUGCUUAACGACGACCAUGACUUGUACCCCUGCCGCGUACCGUGAUGUUUCGUGAUGUUUCGUCACGGUGUACCCAAGGCCGCGUACCCCUGCCGUUCUAGACGUAGCAGGUGUAGUAGCUGUGCGUCCAUGUGUGUAACUACGAACGUCAAUGUCAAAGUACAGGACUAGGUUUUACGAUGUCCCUAGACUAAAAAUAAAAGCACAACACUAAUAAAAACUUGUAAACACGAAAUCAAACAAUCGAACCUACCUAAACACCGGAGCGGAGUAGUCCAGGCCCUCCUGUUUUCACGAACCGCUCAUCUAUGUACGUCGUGCCCUGGUUCUCUUUUUUUUAAUUUGACUUGCGAGUUCCCAGCAGUUUAAGUCGAAAUCUUGUUUUCAGCGCCCUAUUCGAGAAAGUCAGAUACCUACCUGUCGACUUACGCGUUCUAUCUACUACAAGCCUUAAACCUAGUACUCGAAGGUUGUUACUGGCACGCUCUACGACCUGUACCGCAUGUUCCGGCUACAACUACCACCGUGUAUAUGAGUAGUCGACGGAUGAUGUGCAGUCCCUCCUCCUUCGAUCCCUUGGGUAUAAACUUUGUGCUCUCGUUCCUUUCCUAAUUACCAAUGACUACUUUGGUAAUUAGUUAUUAACACUACUAAUCAACAAGGACUUAGUGUUAAUUAGGAACAUAUUGAGGUACACAACCACAAAACUCACCCACUGGACACUGGAUAAGAUAGGUUUUCUUAUUACCACACGUCAAAGUCAGCACUCACCUCCGCUAUACCGGUGCCUGAUAUAAAUAGGAUAGUUUGGCAGCCAUUGACUUUUGAUUAGUACGACCACCGUUACCCCCGUCGGAAUAUAAGGGGUUACUACAAACACAUUUUACGA